rnacentral:rRNA from 1 species
CCUACGGGAGGCAGCAGUGGGGAAUCUUGCGCAAUGGGCGAAAGCCUGACGCAGCAACGCCGCGUGCGGGAUGAAGGCCUUCGGGUUGUAAACCGCUUUCAGCAGGGAAGAAAUUGACGGUACCUGCAGAAGAAGCCCCGGCCAACUACGUGCCAGCAGCCGCGGUAACACGUAGGGGGCGAGCGUUGUCCGGAUUUAUUGGGCGUAAAGAGCUCGUAGGCGGUUCACUAAGUCGGGUGUGAAACCUCCAGGCUCAACCUGGAGACGCCACCUGAUACUGGUGUGACUAGAGUCCGGUAGGGGAGUGUGGAACUCCUGGUGUAGCGGUGAAAUGCGCAGAUAUCAGGAAGAACACCAGCGGCGAAGGCGGCACUCUGGGCCGGUACUGACGCUGAGGAGCGAAAGCGUGGGUAGCAAACAGGAUUAGAUACCCUGGUAGUCCACGCCGUAAACGUUGGGCACUAGGUGUGGGUCUCAACCAACGAGAUCCGUGCCGCAGCUAACGCAUUAAGUGCCCCGCCUGGGGAGUACGGCCGCAAGGCUAAAACGUCAAAUGAAUUGACGG